rnacentral:lncRNA from 1 species
GUUAAAGGGAGCAGAGCGCGGGUCGGGGCGCAGAGCCGAGGGGGCGCGCUGUGUGCUAACUGGCCACCCGAGCGCCAAGGGGUGCUGUGCGGAGGCACUGGGGAGCACAGAGUGCGGUGUCCUACCGACGGACGGGCGCCCCUCAGAGGCUUGCCGAGAGGCAGAAACCUGAAAGAAAACCUAAGAUGCCCAGUUCAUCCUUCAGAUGACAGCUUUACAGCUCCACCCCCAGGUUAGACACCUUUGAGUUCUAACUCUCAGGGAUGGGGAGUUGGGGGAUGAGGUACCUGGCUGGCUCAGUUGGAGCAUGUGACUGGAGUUCAAGCCCCAUGUUGGGCAUAGAGCUUACUUAAAAAACAAACAAACAAACAAACAAAACAUUUAGGAAGAAUCUGUUAAGGUGCAGGAAAUAGAAAUAGCAAUAGAGUGUGGAAGAAGAGACUGAGCCUGGCGUUUUGGGGGAUCAGGAGUGGGUCUAGAGCAGGAAGGACCAUAGGAGAUGAGAUUAUAAAAGAAG